rnacentral:rRNA from 1 species
AACGAACGCUGGCGGCAUGCCUAACACAUGCAAGUCGAACGAGACCUUCGGGUCUAGUGGCGCACGGGUGCGUAACGCGUGGGAAUCUGCCCUUGGGUUCGGAAUAACAGUUAGAAAUGACUGCUAAUACCGGAUAAUGUCUUCGGACCAAAGAUUUAUCGCCCAGGGAUGAGCCCGCGUAGGAUUAGCUAGUUGGUGAGGUAAAGGCUCACCAAGGCGACGAUCCUUAGCUGGUCUGAGAGGAUGAUCAGCCACACUGGGACUGAGACACGGCCCAGACUCCUACGGGAGGCAGCAGUGGGGAAUAUUGGACAAUGGCGAAAGCCUGAUCCAGCAAUGCCGCGUGAGUGAUGAAGGCCUUAGGGUUGUAAAGACUCUUUUACCCGGGUAUGAUAAUGACAGUACCGGGAGGAAUAAAG